UUUCCUUUCAGAUUUAUACAGGACCAUAUCAACCGCCUGCUGUUCGUGGCAUUCGACAUGAUGACAACUAUCUUGAAGCACUUUCCCCUGGAGUGCUUGUGGCAGUAUAUAUUAGCAAUUACAAGAAGAAACCAGUCAUUGGAAAGGUAACUGAGGUUUGUGAUAUUGACUUUAAACUGGACUAUUGGAAGGGCACAUAUAAUACAGCCUGGCAACCACUUACAGAAUGGUGAAGAGCAAAGAAGGACAAAUACCUUGGAAUGACACUCUCCCAAAACAGUCAGUGAUUGUAUGUUCAUUUGAACUUGAUGAGAACAACCAUCUCUUUGAAAAUACCCGGAAGUUUAUAAAACGGUGGUAUCGCGAGGAAGCCAAAAGGGUAAAAGACAUAUAGAAUCAAAACAACUGUUCCUAGGCUUCCUAAUGUAAACUAGAGUAACUGGCGCAAGAUUAUUUCAAACUAGCAAAAUUGUCCAAUGCAGUGUUGCCAGUCAUAUAAUUAAUUAGUUAUGAAUAUUAGUAUAUUACAAUUCCUGAAUAGACAUAAUUCCUUCAAUGAACCAUUACAAAAUGACAUAUCACUCAUUCUGUAUGAGNNNNNNNNNNNNNNNNNNNNUUUAACCCUCUUCAGCACUCUCCCCUUGACAAGUAAUCGCCAAACGUUAGACAGAAUAAAAUAAUAAAAUGCACCUCAAGGGGUCAAAUAAAUACCUGCAUGGUACAUCUACAGUACAUCGAAUAACAAAUUACAUACAACAGAAUUUUACCUGUUGAGGUGAGAGUGCUGCCACUCAAUGGCUUAAUAUAAUUAUUUUUACUGCAUCCCUAUAAUCUGGUAACACAACCCACUGUGACUAUUAAUUUAUCACGUACGGUACUGUAUAAUUUUAGAUUUACAGAAUGCUUUUGAACAGUGCAUGACCAUACAAAACAAGCUUGCAAAUCAGCUAAUCUUUUCCUUUCAGAUUUAUACAGGACCAUAUCAACCGCCUGCUGUUCGUGGCAUUCGACAUGAUGACAACUAUCUUGAAGCACUUUCCCCUGGAGUGUUUGUGGCAGUAUAUAUUAGCAAUUACAAGAAAAAACCAGUCAUUGGAAAGGUAACUGAGGUUUGUGAUAUUGACUUUAAACUGCACUAUUGGAAGGGCACAUAUAAUACAGCCUGGCAACCACUUACAGUAUGGUGAAGAGCAAAGAAGGACAAAUACCUUGGAAUGACACUCUCCC
rnacentral:lncRNA from 1 species